GAAUUGUAGGCUCCAAAACUAAAACUGAAGCGAAGGUACCCCACGUCGUUUUGGUAUUCAAUUGGACUAAAUCGAAGCCCAUGAUUAACUAUUCCUCUUAAGGGCAUUGGCUAGAAGAUGCAACCUUAAUAAAGUAUAAAAUCAACACUCACCCAAG